CCCUUAGAUGUUCUGGGCAGCACGCGCGCUACAAUGGUCUUCGCAAACGGAUGCAUUCUCGAAGGAGAAUGCCAAUCUUGGAAUCUAUGCCUUGGUCGGGACAGUUGCUUGCAAUUUUUCGACUCGAACCAGGAAUUCCUUGUAAUCGUGAUUCAUCACAUCACGAUGAAUACGUCCCUGCCCUUUGUACACACCGCCCGUCGCUCCUACCGAUCGAAGAGUUAGGUGAAUUGUUUUGAUCGAUAAGAUUUGACCAUGGUCAACUCUCGUUGUGAAAUUCUGUGAAUCUGACUGUUUAGAGGAAGGAAAAGUCGUAACA
rnacentral:rRNA from 1 species